GCGUUAAUCGGAAUUACUGGGCGUAAAGGGUGCGUAGGUGGUUUUGUAAGUUAGAUGUGAAAUUCCUGGGCUUAACCUGGGGACUGCGUCUGAUACUGCGAAGCUAGAGUACUGUAGAGGGAAGUGGAAUUUCCGGUGUAGCAGUGAAAUGCGUAGAUAUCGGAAGGAACAUCAGUGGCGAAGGCGACUUCCUGGACAGAUACUGACACUGAGGCACGAAAGCGUG
rnacentral:rRNA from 1 species